ACCAAUGGGCCACAUAAAAAGGGCUGUCUCCCAGCUUUACUCCACAAGCAUCGGAUAUCCUGAAAGCAUCUCAUCACAUCCACUAGGAAAGCAGAUCUACCCUACUUGCUCUAAGAUGUCUCUGGGGAUGAGAAGCAUCCAGCUGGACAAUUUCUAUCAUCCGGUACCUGACAGACUCUCCGCCUUUGACUCCUUCUGUCAAUAUUCUUGCUGCUUACCAGCCCCGCCACCUCCAUCUCCGCCUGCCUGGCAAUGUCCCCCUGGAUAUCAACGAUGUUUGUUGGGCCCCUACCGCCUCCAGAACCCUUGUGGCAUCUACUAUAUCCCAAUCUGUUGGUGCCCCUGCUAACCCACAAAGAUCGACCAUCCUGGUUGCCGGCCACGUUAAGCCCAGACGCAACUUUGACAGGAAAGAAGACACAAGAUUCUGACCCUCGGCUGAACGGAUGGACACAAUAUUCAGAGGUGCUGAGUGCUUCACAGACCCCACUGCACAACCAAUGGGAUCUGUGAGGGCUCAGCAUGUCUGAGAUCUCACAUGGUACUUUGACUUUAUGGCUUUGGCUUCCCUAUCUUUGCAUGCAUGCUUCUUUUUUGGAAGAGGCUCCUUUUCUGCAGUCACGCCCCUCGCUUUGUACUCGAGCUAUUUGUGAUGAGCUCAGAACCUCUGGCUCCUUCCUUUGUUUUCUCAUUAAAGUUUUCAGCAUAUCAUAGAA